GAUGAACGCUAGCUACAGGCUUAACACAUGCAAGUCGAGGGGAAACGAUAGAGAAAGCUUGCUUUUUCUAGGCGUCGACCGGCGCACGGGUGAGUAACGCGUAUCCAACCUGCCCAUCACUUGGGGAUAACCUUGCGAAAGUAAGACUAAUACCUAAUGAUAUCUCUAGAAGACAUCUGAAAGGGAUUAAAGUUUUAUCGGUGAUGGAUGGGGAUGCGUCUGAUUAGCUUGUUGGCGGUGUAACGGCCCACCAAGGCGACGAUCAGUAGGGGUUCUGAGAGGAAGGUCCCCCACAUUGGAACUGAGACACGGUCCAAACUCCUACGGGAGGCAGCAGUGAGGAAUAUUGGUCAAUGGGCGAGAGCCUGAACCAGCCAAGUAGCGUGCAGGAUGACGGCCCUAUGGGUUGUAAACUGCUUUUAUAAGGGAGUAAAGUGAGUCUCGUGAGACUUUUUGCAUGUACCUUAUGAAUAAGGACCGGCUAAUUCCGUGCCAGCCGCCGCAGUAC
rnacentral:rRNA from 1 species